UCAACCGUUGUGGGAGAGACCGCGCGUGCCGGUUCGUGCCGGCGCGGCGCGGCGCCGAAGGUGUAUCGCCCCGGAAACUCUCAGGCAAAAGGACUGCAGCGGUUCG
rnacentral:ncRNA from 2 species